GUCUAGCUCAGCUGGUAGAGCAUCUGAUUUGUAAUCAGAGGGUCGGGGGUUCAAGUCCCUCGA
rnacentral:tRNA from 1 species